GAUGAACGCUAGCGGCAGGCUUAAUACAUGCAAGUCGAGGGGCAGCGGGGAUAGCAAUAUCUGCCGGCGACCGGCAAACGGGUGCGGAACACGUACGCAACCUUCCCAAAACAGGUGAAUAGCCCUGCGAAAGUAGGAUUAAUACACCGUAAGAUAUAGCUUGGGCAUCUAGGUUAUAUUAUAGGUCGCAAGAUCGGUUUUGGAUGGGCGUGCGCCUGAUUAGGUAGNGGUGAGGGUAACGGCCCACCAAGCCUUCGAUCAGUAACUGGUGUGAGAGCACGACCAGUCACACGGGCACUGAGACAC
rnacentral:rRNA from 1 species